rnacentral:lncRNA from 1 species
AACAAUCAUUCUUCAAAUACAAAAGUGGGGAUAAGAUGAGGUAUGGGUUUAGGGUGGUUCUGAUUUUCCUAGGAUUUUGAUUAAUUGUAUGCUUAAGUUUUGUUUUUUUACCUUUAUAAAUAACUACAUUUUAUUCUUUAAAAUAUAAAUUUAGUUUUUAUAAAUUUAAAUUAUUUUAGGAAAAACACAUGAUGAUGUACAUGCAAAUAAACAUU